rnacentral:lncRNA from 1 species
GGACAGCCCACUAGUUGUGUGUAUGUAACCCCAUGCUAUUUAUGGGAGUGGACUGAGCUGGAGGUACUUGCUAGGUUGGUAUUUCUGCCAGCAGUCUGGACCAGCACAGUAGCCAAACCUAACAUCCCUUCCAAAGGUGGAAAAUAAAUGAUAAAUGGAGAGAAAGAGAAAUAGUAGCUGAGGUUGGAGAGAUCACAGUUAACCAGAACAGAGAGAGGCACCUGGAUGUCAAUAAGCUCACAGCCUGGGCGAACAGACGGACACGAGGCCAGGUGCUUCUUGCAGGGGCCCCAUGAGCUCAGUGCAGCAGCAGGCGAUGGACAGAGGGAAGAUGGCCCGAUUUCUCAUGACUGGGCAUGCCAGGGAGCACUGGGGACAGACCAUCUCCUUUGAACAGGGCUUCCGUGAACAAGGAGGGUCCUGACAGAUAGAGAGAGGGAGGAAGGCCAUUGUAGGGAGCAGGGACAGCAGGAGCGAGGACACCGAGGGAGGAGACCGUACAAGGCAUUUGGAAAGGGUGAGUGACUGCGCGUGUUUAGCAGGUGGAAUCCACUUGGAGAAAUGCCAGCCAUGAGCCUGAAAAUCUAGCCUGAAGUUGGACUGUGGGGGGCCUUGAACGUCAAGCUUCUUGAAGUAAGAGGUGUUUUGCUUUGGGCAAACUUGAAAGAGGAGCAACUAGAUUUACACAGAGAUGUUCACUGUUGACUGCAGCUCUUUAAGAUGGUGCUGAUAGGGUGACUGUGGCUGAAGUUCAAGGUCUGCUACUAGAAGAAAAAUCCCAACCCCCACCCAUCACAAAGAACUCACCUUGCUCUCUGGAUAUGCACAGCCCCGGUGCUGCAAUCUUAAACAGGAGCCUGAGGUGACAACCGUCCCAGAGGGAUUUGAUCGUAUCUCAGACCAGUGAGGACUGUCAGCUGAGUGAGGUGACAACUGAGUCAGGACGGGAAGGGGAACGUGGGGAAUCAGAUGUCGCAGGAGUGCCCUGGGAAUCCCAGCCCAUUUGGCCUUAGCCGGAUGUGACAGGAGUAAAAUGAAUGAUACCCCAACAUUUUCUUUUUGAUGACUAUCUUGCCUUGCGUAUUUAUGGAGAAACAAGCACUAACAUGUUUUGGCAUUUUUUCAAAUAUUUGACUCUUGAUUGCAAAAAACUGUAACAGGCCUCUUAACUUCUUAGUUAACUUCCUUAGUCAGGAAGAAUGGAGUUUGUUAGAAUUAUUAUUAUUUUUUACCAUCCCCUUCCAAUCUGACUCUAGUGUUUUUCAAAUAGUCGAAGAAAGACAAAAAAAUUAAAGAAAGGCAAUUGCUGGUCUUUAAAUUGAAGUGCAUGGAAGAAUGUCUUGGGAGAAACAGCAUUUAAGAGGUGAAAGAUUACCAUAUAUUUAAGUGUUUGAGCCCAUCCAUCUUUUAGGGCAGAAGUCUUUAAUCAGGACCAAUGAUUAUAGGGAUAACGUCAAGAUAAAAAUCAUACGCAUCCUAGUAUUUAAAAAAAUUCUCUGCCUUGAGUCACUAAUGGUAGCUUAGAUUAUUAGCACAGAGAUCAUUCUCAAGGUCUAAUGGGCCCUUGCUUGGUCCACUCUCUGCCAGACCUUGGGCACUGGGCAUACUUUUGUUAUUCCACCUUCAGCUUGGCGUCUGUCUGUGUCUCCACAGGCACGUUAACGCGGAAGCAAUCGGCUGAAUUCGUCCUUAGAAGUGACUAUUGCCAAGAGAUUAAUUACAUGCUGGUCAUUUUCCAGAUAACCGGUUGGUUGACUAAAGUCAGAAGUUGGAGCAAAGUGGAUUGAGUGUGUGGCUCUAAUUUCAGUUUUCCUUUUGGGGUUGCUGUUGGGUGAGCUCUUGCUCUUAUAGUCAUAUAUCCUAGAUUUUAGCGUCUGUGGCCCCUUGCUGUUUACAAAAUGCUUUCCCAUUCUUGCACUCAUUUGUUUAAUGGACAUUUGUUAAGCGCUUAUUAUGUAGAGGCUCUGUGCUGGGUGCCGGGAUACAGAAGUGACCAAGAGAUGUAAUCCCUUCCUAACAAAGCUUACAGUGCGAGCAUUCCUUCAUUCAGGCUUCAUUCCCACAUCCAGCAAAGGUUUGCAGGGUAUCUCUCAUGAACGCCGUUGAUCCCAGUGCCGAGGCUGCAGGUGAGCAAAGUUCCUGCUCUCAGGCUGCUCGCGUUCUGGAAAGAGCUAUAGAAGACCAACUACAGAAGAUGUCGGGUUGCGAUGAGAGCUAUGAAGAAAACUGGGAAUAUAGACGUUUUUAAUGAAAGAAUCGCAUUUCUUAUCUCUUUUUGGUAAGAUUAGUAAACCCAUUCUAAGGAUGUGAAUAACCAGGCCCAGGAUGCAUGUAAUUGCCCUGGUUCUGCAGGGAGCUGUCCUCAGACCCAGGAGGGGACCCAGCGCUGCGCUCCUCUGGUCCUCAGCUCUCUGCACUGACCCAUUGCCUUUCACUAUACCCUGCUCCCUUCUGCUUGGGUUCUACCAAAAUGGGGAGAUGUCCAGUUUAAAAUCUAUCUCCCACUUUCAGUAAUUCCCCCAGACCUUGACUUUAUUUCGAAGGAUUUUGUUUAUUUGUUUUUCCAGAAAGGACAACGUAAAAGUGUCGCUUCUCUUAACUUCAAUAUCCUCUCCUCUUUCCCAGAAGGGAGACCCAGCAGCGUGAAUAAAGCUCCAAAGACCCAAAACUGAUUAAUGGAGAAUGACUUCAGAGUCACUCCAUCCGCCUCGGAGGUCUAGGUGUGCCACUCUCUGCCUAUGUGACUCAUCUUUCUCCCUCCUUCCCUUCUUUCCUUUUUCAGAAACUCCCACAUCUGUAAUGUCAUUAUAACAGCAGGGUUGAGGUGAAGAUCACAUAAGGAAACACCCGCCAGCAUCCAUGAAAGUGCCCUGGGCAGAUGCCUACGAGGAAGGAAAUGGUCAUGGUGUCGUGGGAAGAACACACACUGGGGUUUGGGGGGAGGGAUGGGAGACCCUGCUGAGGGACUUUCUUCUCCAAACCUGUCUGCUCACGUCACUAUGGAGCCAGCAAGGGCAGACAGCCACGUGGCCGAGGAAUGGGGGCAGCAGCACUUCCAUCAUAAGACAGAAGACGGAAUGAAAUGGUGAUGUCAGGGCCGAGCUCUGCGCCCACCUGUGUUUCCUACGCUCCGGGCGUUCGCGAGCACCUGCAUCACAUUUGCCACAUCAGCAUUUGAAAUACUUUCAUUCACAUUUGUACUUUAGCCACAUCUAUACAAUAAGGGCCACAAAAUCACAGAGUUUAUUUCAUGCAUAUCUCAAUAUAUGUAAUCAUUCAAUAUUAAUGAUUAAAUUUUAACAUUUUUGAAUGAAUUCAAUGAACAACUAUGUAAUUAUUAAAAUACGUAAUUCCUGAAAUCCUCAUAAGCACCCCCAGAGCCACGUGGGCGACUGUCAGGUGAGCUCAUCGGAGGUCCCCAUCCCUGUCCUUCCGUGAUCCUCCCUCUGCAGCGCAUUUCCCUGGAGCUUCCUUUGUCCUUUCAAAGAUGUCAUCUCAUUUGAGCUUUAUGAUACUC